GUACACUCCUACGGGAGGCAGCAGUGGGGAAUUUUGGACAAUGGGCGAAAGCCUGAUCCAGCAAUGCCGCGUGAGUGAAGAAGGCCUUCGGGUUGUAAAGCUCUUUUGUCAGGGAAGAAACGGUGAGAGCUAAUAUCUCUUGCUAAUGACGGUACCUGAAGAAUAAGCACCGGCUAACUACGUGCCAGCAGCCGCGGUAAUACGUAGGGUGCAAGCGUUAAUCGGAAUUACUGGGCGUGAAGCGUGCGCAGGCGGUUUUGUAAGUCUGAUGUGAAAUCCCCGGGCUCAACCUGGGAAGUGCAUUGGAGACUGCAAGGCUAGAAUCUGGCAGAGGGGGGUAGAAUUCCACGUGUAGCAGUGAAAUGCGUAGAUAUGUGGAGGAACACCGAUGGCGAAGGCAGCCCCCUGGGUCAAGAUUGACGCUCAUGCACGAAAGCGUGGGGAGCAAACAGGAUUAGAUACCCGAGUAGUCCCAUGA
rnacentral:rRNA from 1 species